rnacentral:lncRNA from 1 species
GCUCGGGGAGCGCUCCCGGCGCGGCUGCGGGAGCGGCAGGCUCCGGCUCCAGCGGGAGAGCAGCGCUGGAGCCGCAGGCUUAAAAGCAGGAAGAAGUUGUUGAACUUAAAAUUCAGCUGAUCGGUGCCCAGUCCCAGUUCAGAGAGUGGAAGCAGAGGAACAAUUUCAUGACCAAGAUGCCCGUGAAGUUUAAUCUCUCUUAAGAAGACAAACCCC